rnacentral:rRNA from 1 species
ACUCCUACGGGAGGCAGCAGUGGGGAAUAUUGGACAAUGGGGGAACCCUGAUCCAGCAAUGCCGCGUGAGUGAUGAAGGCCUUAGGGUUGUAAAGCUCUUUUACCCGGGAUGAUAAUGACAGUACCGGGAGAAUAAGCCCCGGCUAACUCCGUGCCAGCAGCCGCGGUAAUACGGAGGGGGCUAGCGUUGUUCGGAAUUACUGGGCGUAAAGCGCGCGUAGGCGGCUUUGUAAGUUAGAGGUGAAAGCCCGGGGCUCAACCCCGGAAUUGCCUUUAAGACUGCAUCGCUAGAAUCGUGGAGAGGUAAGUGGAAUUCCGAGUGUAGAGGUGAAAUUCGUAGAUAUUCGGAAGAACACCAGUGGCGAAGGCGACUUACUGGACACGUAUUGACGUUGAGGUGCGAAAGCGUGGGGAGCAAA